GACUUGAGGCAUGCAGCUCAGAGGCAGGAGCAGGAAACGUGGGGGAGAGACCUGACCUGACACAGGGGACUCCAGAGAUCACACACACAGGAGCUGGGAUCCUACAGAGGAAGAGACAAUGUAUGAACAGCAGAGAGAUAGCAGGAUUUAUUGGUACUAGCUCCACCCAUACAGUAUGAGUUACAAGUGCGGAGAGGUGGAUGGUCAACUUUUUCAAAAGCUGUGAAGAGGUCAAGAAGUAUGAGCACAGAGAAGUUUCCAUUGGAUGUAGCUGAAAAGAUCAAGGGAUUAAUAUCCAUUUCAGUGCGAGUAGCAGCGAUGGAUUCUAAAACAUUGGAGCAAUUCAACAUUGCUUCAUUGCAUGGUCAUCUGAUCCGAAGGUCAACUGUACCCGCAAUCCCUACCACCACAACUUUGGUAGCAGUGAAACUUUGGACUGCCGAAUCUGACUCCGCAGUGCUAGUGGGCAUGCAUGAACUGGGUUUCAAGCAUGUGCACAAAGAAGCUGUUAUCCAGUCAAGGGAGCCAAAUAGGGGAAGAGGGAUCUGAAUGGAUCCCUUUUCACAACCCGGGUUUUCUCCUUAUAACAGGAGCGGGGGUCUGGGAAUGAGCGCCAUCUGAAGAUGAAAAUUUUUCCUGCUGUCAAAUUCUUAAAAUGUUAUAUUUUUGGUGAUUAAUACAUUUCAGCCCCUUUACAACAGCAUGGAGACAGUAGUCUA